UGUUGAGCUCUAUAUGCUCACCCCGUUGUUGUAUAAAUUUUUCAGGAUAGCUUGUCGCUUGCUUAAAUGUUAAGAUUGGGCUGAGGCGGUGGAAAGCUAAAAUAUUUUGGGCAGAUCUUUAUUAGUAUAUAUGUUUUUAUUGUAUAAGCACACGCUACAUCUAAUGAAAUGUUGACGAUGAAUCUAAACUUGUGGAUUUUGUAUAAGUUUAAAGGACCUCUC
rnacentral:lncRNA from 1 species